GAUAUCUUAUCCAAGAGGUUAAGGAGGUGCACUGCUAGGGCCACACCAACUCGUAGAUGCAUUGUCGUAAGAUGCGUGAGUUCGAAUCUCACAGAUAUCG